UUACUGAGGUAUGCUCGGUGCCGCGUAAGCGCGCCGGUUGCCCGCCCAUAUGUCAUCUUUGCUGGACCCGCCCUGCCUUUGGGCAAGGGAGGGGACAGGAACRUCACUUCGGUCGAGGUGUUGUGCCUCUUCGUUUCAUUAUGAGGCUGGCAUGACCGCGGCCGGUUAUAUUUUACACUCUUGUGAGAGCAUGAAGUCUGAAGCAAACGAAAAUUUAAGCAAAACUUUCAACAACGGAUCUCUUGGCUCUGGCAACGAUGAAGAACGCAGCGAAACGCGAAAGGUAAUGCGAAUUGCAGAAUCAGUGAGUCAUCGAAUCUUUGAACGCACAUUGCGCCUCUCGGUAUUCCGGGAGGCACGCCUGUUCGAGCGCCAUUACACACUCCAAGCGUAGCUUGAUGUUGGACGAUGCGGGUCUCCUAGAGGACCGCACGUCUGGAACGCGUGGGCGCCCAUCGCCGGAUCACAAGCGUAGCAAGACGUUUCGUCAAUUUCGUUCUGUGAGCUCCGACGGGGGGCGGCCUCAUACUUUUUCUGUAUCAGAAGUUUGGCCUCGGAUCAGGCGGGGAUACCCGCUGAACUUAAGCAUAUCAAUAAGCGGAGGAAAAGAAACCAACAGGGAUUGCCCCAGUAACGGCGAGUGAAGCGGCAACAGCUCAAAUUUGAAAUCUGGCGCUUUAAGUGUCCGAGUUGUAAUUUGUAGAGGGUGCCUCGGGUUGAGGGUCGGUCCAAGUUCCUUGGAACAGGAUACCGAAGAGGGUGAGAGUCCCGUCUCCGGCCGACGCCAACGCCUAUGUGAGGCCCCUUCGACGAGUCGAGUUGUUUGGGAAUGCAGCUCUAAAUGGGUGGUAAAUUCCAUCUAAAGCUAAAUACUGGCCAGAGACCGAUAGCGAACAAGUAGAGUGAUCGAAAGAUGAAAAGCACUUUGAAAAGAGAGUCAAACAGUACGUGAAAUUGUUGAAAGGGAAGCGUAUACGGCCAGACUUGGCUGCGAGGGCUCCGCCCGUCUUCUGGCGGGUGUACUCCCUCGUGGACAGGCCAGCAUCGGUUUCUGGGGUCGGACAAAGGCGCUGGGAAUGUAGCUCCCCUCGGGGAGUGUUAUAGCCCGGCGUGCAAUGCGACC
rnacentral:rRNA from 1 species